rnacentral:rRNA from 1 species
GUCCUCGGUAGGCCUCUGGGUCACCUCCCACCCGUGUCUAUCGUACCUUGUUGCUUCGGCGGGCCCGCCGUUUCGACGGCCGCCGGGGAGGCCUUGCGCCCCCGGGCCCGCGCCCGCCGAAGACCCCAACAUGAACGCUGUUCUGAAAGUAUGCAGUCUGAGUUGAUUAUCGUAAUCAGUUAAAACUUUCAACAACGGAUCUCUUGGUUCCGGCAUCGAUGAAGAACGCAGCGAAAUGCGAUAAGUAAUGUGAAUUGCAGAAUUCAGUGAAUCAUCGAGUCUUUGAACGCACAUUGCGCCCCCUGGUAUUCCGGGGGGCAUGCCUGUCCGAGCGUCAUUGCUGCCCUCAAGCACGGCUUGUGUGUUGGGCCCCCGUCCCCCUCUCCCGGGGGACGGGCCCGAAAGGCAGCGGCGGCACCGCGUCCGGUCCUCGAGCGUAUGGGGCUUUGUCACCUGCUCUGUAGGCCCGGCCGGCGCCAGCCGACACCCAACUUUAUUUUUCUAAGGUUGACCUCGGAUCAGGUAGGGAUACCCGCUGAACUUAAGCAUAUCAAUAAAACAAAAGGUUAAAC